UGGGAAUUUGGACAAUGGGCGAAAGCCUGAUCCAGCAAUGCCGCGUGUGUGAAGAAGGCCUUCGGGUUGUAAAGCACUUUUGUCCGGAAAGAAAUCCUUGGCUCUAAUACAGUCGGGGGAUGACGGUACCGGAAGAAUAAGCACCGGCUAACUACGUGCCAGCAGCCGCGUAAUACGUAGGGUGCAAGCGUUAAUCGGAAUUACUGGGCGUAAAGCGUGCGCAGGCGGUUUGCUAAGACCGAUGUGAAAUCCCCGGGCUCAACCUGGGAACUGCAUUGGUGACUGGCAGGCUAGAGUAUGGCAGAGGGGGGUAGAAUUCCACGUGUAGCAGUGAAAUGCGUAGAGAUGUGGAGGAAUACCGAUGGCGAAGGCAGCCCCCUGGGCCAAUACUGACGCUCAUGCACGAAAGCGUGGGGAGCAAAACAGGAUUAGAUACCCCUGGUAGUCCACGCCCCUAAAACGAUGUCAACUAGUUGUUGGGGAUUCAUUUCCUUAGUAACGUAGCUAACGCGUGAAGUUGACCGCCUGGGGAGUACGGUCGCAAGAUUAAAACUCAAAUGAAUUGAC
rnacentral:rRNA from 1 species